UAAUACAGAGGGGGCAAGCGUUGUUCGGAAUUACUGGGCGUAAAGGGCGCGUAGGCGGCCUUCUAAGUCGAACGUGAAAUCCCCGGGCUCAACCCGGGAACUGCGUCCGAGACUGGAAGGCUCGAAUCCGGGAGAGGGAUGUGGAAUUCCAGGUGUAGCGGUGAAAUGCGUAGAUAUCUGGAGGAACAUCGGUGGCGAAGGCGGCAUCCUGGACCGGUAUUGACGCUGAGGCGCGAAAGCCAGGGGAGCAAACGGGAUUAGAUACCCCGGUAGUCCUGGCCCUAAACGAUGAAUGCUUGGUGUGGCGGGUAUCGAUCCCUGCCGUGCCGAAGCUAACGCAUUAAGCAUUCCGCCUGGGGAGUACGGUCGCAAGGCUG
rnacentral:rRNA from 1 species